AGUGAACGCUGGCGGCGUGCUUAACACAUGCAAGUCGAACGAGAACGGAUUAUAGCUUGCUGUAAUUGUCAGCUAAGUGGCGCACGGGUGAGUAAUGUAUAGGUAAUAUGCCUCUUACUAAGGGAUAACAAAUGGAAACGUUUGCUAAUACCUUAUACUCCUUAUUAACAGAAGUUAAUAAGGGAAAGAUUUAUUGGUAAGAGAUUAGCCUGUAUUGUAUCAGUUAGUUGGUGGGGUAAUGGCUAACCAAGACUAUGACACAUAACUGGUUUGAGAGGAUGAUCAGUCACACUGGAACUGAGACACGGUCCAGACUCCUACGGGAGGCAGCAGUGGGGAAUAUUGCACAAUGGACGAAAGUCUGAUGCAGCAACGCCGCGUGGAGGAUGACACAUUUCGGUGCGUAAACUCCUUUUAUAUGAGAAGAUAAUGACGGUAUUAUAUGAAUAAGCACCGGCUGACUCCGUGCCAGCAGCCGCCGUAACAC
rnacentral:rRNA from 1 species